rnacentral:rRNA from 1 species
GCAGUCGAGCGGAUGAGGGAGCUUGCUCCUGGAUUCAGCGGCGGACGGGUGAGUAAUGCUUAGGAAUCUGCCUAUUAGUGGGGGACAACAGUUGGAAACGACUGCUAAUACCGCAUACGCCCUACGGGGGAAAGGAGGGGAUCUUCGGACCUUUCGCUAAUAGAUGAGCCUAAGUCAGAUUAGCUAGUUGGUGGGGUAAAGGCCUACCAAGGCGACGAUCUGUAGCGGGUCUGAGAGGAUGAUCCGCCACACUGGGACUGAGACACGGCCCAGACUCCUACGGGAGGCAGCAGUGGGGAAUAUUGGACAAUGGGGGCAACCCUGAUCCAGCCAUGCCGCGUGUGUGAAGAAGGCCUUUUGGUUGUAAAGCACUUUAAGCGAGGAGGAGGCUCUUCUAGUUAAUACCUAGGAUGAGUGGACGUUACUCGCAGAAUAAGCACCGGCUAACUCUGUGCCAGCAGCCGCGGUAAUACAGAGGGUGCGAGCGUUAAUCGGAUUUACUGGGCGUAAAGCGUACGUAGGCGGCUUUUUAAGUCGGAUGUGAAAUCCCUGAGCUUAACUUAGGAAUUGCAUUCGAUACUGGGAAGCUAGAGUAUGGGAGAGGAUGGUAGAAUUCCAGGUGUAGCGGUGAAAUGCGUAGAGAUCUGGAGGAAUACCGAUGGCGAAGGCAGCCAUCUGGCCUAAUACUGACGCUGAGGUACGAAAGCAUGGGGAGCAAACAGGAUUAGAUACCCUGGUAGUCCAUGCCGUAAACGAUGUCUACUAGCCGUUGGGGCCUUUGAGGCUUUAGUGGCGCAGCUAACGCGAUAAGUAGACCGCCUGGGGAGUACGGUCGCAAGACUAAAACUCAAAUGAAUUGACGGGGGCCCGCACAAGCGGUGGAGCAUGUGGUUUAAUUCGAUGCAACGCGAAGAACCUUACCUGGUCUUGACAUAGUAAGAACUUUCCAGAGAUGGAUUGGUGCCUUCGGGAACUUACAUACAGGUGCUGCAUGGCUGUCGUCAGCUCGUGUCGUGAGAUGUUGGGUUAAGUCCCGCAACGAGCGCAACCCUUUUCCUUAUUUGCCAGCGGGUUAAGCCGGGAACUUUAAGGAUACUGCCAGUGACAAACUGGAGGAAGGCGGGGACGACGUCAAGUCAUCAUGGCCCUUACGACCAGGGCUACACACGUGCUACAAUGGUCGGUACAAAGGGUUGCUACUCCGCGAGGAGAUGCUAAUCUCAAAAAGCCGAUCGUAGUCCGGAUCGCAGUCUGCAACUCGACUGCGUGAAGUCGGAAUCGCUAGUAAUCGCGGAUCAGAAUGCCGCGGUGAAUACGUUCCCGGGCCUUGUACACACCGCCCGUCACACCAUGGGAGUUUGUUGCACCAGAAGUAGGUAGUCUAACCGUAAGGAGGACGCUACC